rnacentral:lncRNA from 1 species
UGCCAACAACGCACUUCGAACUGCUAGGCAAACGAAGAACAUGGGUGACACCAUAUCAAGAGGUGCAGACGUCAAGGUCCACACCUGAAUCAAAUGGCGCACCUAAAGAAUGAACACGGUGAGAAGUCUUGUUCAGAAGACUUAAAACAUUGAACCCUCGCCGAAAGGUAAAAUCGGUAGAUAUCCAUAUUUAUCCUUUCUGCAUUCCCUUUUCCCUUUAGUUACUUACUUUCCUUAAAUAGCUUAUUAGUUAAUCAUGCUAUCUUGAAAAGAAAAUAAAAAUAUUAAAAAUACUAAGCCCCAUGUGAGUAUGCUCGUGGCAUAAAACCCCUAAGUACAUUCACUGUGGUGGCGUAAAAAUAAAAUAAAUAUAUUCCUGUCCUAUAGAGAUGAAAAUAUAAAAAUAAAUUUAUGAUCCUACCAAAGAGAGUAAUAUUUAUUAGAGGAAGCUCAACAUGAUAAAUGUAACAGAACCGACCAAAUUAUAAGAGAUUAAGCCUAACAGUGACCAUUUGCAUAGUCAAACCAUCACGCUUAAGCCCAUAUAAUCCCGGUAGUCCGUGAAAUCUCGAAGGAUUUCAAUCCACAUAUCGCACAACAGCCAAGAUCGUAAUAAGUUUAGCGGUCGCUAUUCACAAAUACAUCCAGAGUACAACAUUCAUAAAAUACAUCGGAGUUCUUAAAAUUAUUACAAACCAAGUUCUUCAAGUAGCGGAAGCUUCAUAACUCGAAAAUACAACACACACAUUUAGUCUGAUACAGUGCCAUAGUUCGGUCAAUCCCACAAAAGCAACAGAGAAGACGAAGUGACCAUUGCCCUUGGUCUAGUCAUCACCCAUGGCUGGGUACAGACAGAGGAUGCAAUCACCAUAGUCCAUUUGACCAUCUGCAAAACAACAUGGGAGUAGAACCCUGAGUACGAGAAGGUACUCAGCUAGACUUAAACGUCAUAAACUUAAAAUAAAGACUCAUCAAGGAUCAUGAAGGCUAUAUAGUGGGGUAGCUGACAACCAUUUUGCAAAAACGUAGGAUUUUACUAUCAUAACCUACAUAAGUCUUUCUUCUUUUAAUUUGCUCAAGUUGAAAGUAUCAUUACCUAUCAUCUAGGUUUGCACCUGCACUAUUACAAGCAAGUAUAAGGAUAUGAUAGUACCUUAUCAUAGCAUUUCUUAAAACCAUUCAUCAACAUAACCCAAGUGUUCCAUAGUCCUUACUACGAGGACGAAGCUCAUGUCAAGUGCUCACUAUCCAGGAGUGAUGGCGAUUCGAAUCGAUUUCUAACCAGCUGGCGAGGUAUUCCCCAGACAAACCACACUCACUGAUCAAGUGAGCUACAGAUCACCGUAUUACACUAUCCAGGACCAAUUCGCGGGUUCGGCAGGCACUGCCAGUACCCGAGGACCGUUCCGGCGACCGAGGUAUCCAAGGUAUACCAAGGUUGCGCGCCGCGCCCUCGUCGUUCUCCUCAACCAUCACCAAUACAGCGCAUGGCGGCUCGAUUCCCGGCCUGGAUAGUGUUCAGGCUUCACGGUCGGAAUGACUUAUCCUUCCAGCUAAGUGUGGGGCAUGCGUUCAACAUGACAAGAGGGCCGUCAACGAUCGGUCCUUAAUCGACACAGGCAGGGGCACUAUGGUCAACCCACCAUAAGACCCUGCCCGGUCUCCAGUUACAUUCCACACUCGGUUAUUCUUUUCCCCAAGCAACCAAUGCUUAAUCAAGCAGGUAUCCACCUAUUUCUCGCAGGUGACAGGAAAUCACCCGACUUCUACCGGACUAAGCAAGCUAAGCAUAGACUCCGUGCCUAUCUACAUAGGACAAGGUAGGUGAACGAGUAGGGAUAACAAGGAGUACAUAUGCAUCAACGGUAUCAAUCAAAUCCUAUCACUUAGAUGCAAUAUAGUAGAACAAUUAUAGCGCAUCAUAUAAGUUAGCGAGAAUAGGGAGACUUAGAAUGCUCCGGGGCUUGCCUUUCUCAAACGUGCUGGGUUGGUGAUCCGGACACUCCUGUAGCUCUUCUCCAGGUUCCGGUGCUUCCGGAGGUUCCUGCUCCUGAAUCUCCUCGGGUUCCUCGGGUCCCACUUCGUUCUCCUGCGAGCCUGUAUGAUGCAUGUGUGCUUAUGAGUGGAGUGCGAGAUGCCCGAGUGGAUGCUUGUAUGAGAAAGUACCAAAGGAGUCAUGACAUGAUGCAUAUGUAAUGUACUCGGUCCUGCUCAUUACAAGGUAGUCAACAUCAUCCAAGAACAACAAUUGAAUCAAACAUCUAUUGCAUUCUCUUCUACAAUUUAUUUUUCAAAUGCAACCAGCAACCCACAUGAUGCUUCAAAGAUACACCAAACCCAACUUAUUCUAUUCAACCUAUAUACACAACAAUUCAUAAUUUUCUUUAUUCAUUUCUAGGCCCAUUAAAAAUCACAUGCAAUUCUGUUCAUCAAUAAAUUCCACAAAAAUUACAGGAGACUACCAGCUAAGCAUAAAGUCUACUGUAAAUUUUUCAUAAUUUUUGGAUACUUAUUUUGAGCCACAAAAAUCACAAGAUUAAUUCAUAGAGUAAGUAUAAUAACUCUACUGUGAUAUAAGUGUCAAACAACAGAUUUCAUAUUUUUACAAUUUGUCUAAUAUCAUAAGAAACACCCACAAAAUUUUCCAGAUUUAUUGCAUGAUCCAAUUAAUUAUUAAAAAUCAUAAAUCACUGCCAUGCAAGCAUUUAAAUUACCAUAAAUUCAUUUAUACACCAAAUAAUAUGUAGCAAUAUUUUCCCAGUGAGUAAACAUACAUGAAGAGCCAACAAAUCAAAUUUCACAUUUUUCUGAACCAUAUUUUAUUUACUAUGCAUUUUCCAAGUUUAGCAAAAACAUAGAUUAAAUAUAUUCAUUCAGAAAAGUUACUCAAACAUGACAUGCAAUUACAUCAAACUGUAGAUCUGGAAACAUAGAGCACAACAAAAUUUAUUUCGUCCAAUUUGGAGCUGUAGAACUCAAGAUAUGAAUUUUACAAGUUUUGAAUCAAUUUCUAGAAAUCAUUUAUUCAAGAAAACCGACGAAAAAGGCUACGCACACCCAGAUCUACACCCACCGGGGUCCCCCUGCAACUGACAGUGGGUCCCUGACCCCACCGGUCAGCGAGACCGAGAGGGAGCUCACCUCCGACGAGCAGAUCUCGCCGGCGGUGAGGUCUCCGGCCACGGGGUAAGCACCAACGUGCUCCCCGCAGCGAGGCGCACCCAACGGUACCCUUGGAUUGGCCGGAGGAUGACCGGAACACCUCCGACGAGCAUGCAUGGCGGCACGGCGGCGCUGCUCGCCGUGGCCAGGCCGCUCCGGCGCGGUAGAGCGUGCGCAAACGCCUCUCCGAGCUUCCUCACCACCCUACCGACCUAGCGCACCCAAGAACCAGCGAAAAGAGGCAGAGAAACACAAGAUCCGUCGCGGCGGAGUACUCCGGCAAGCUCGGGGUAACUCCGGCGAGCUAUUCAUGGCGCUCGACGGACUCUCACCUCGGUAGAAUGCGCGCACAAGCUUACCCUAACGAUGACGAAGGCGCUGGUGCUCUCGGCGGUGAGCUUGAGGCUCUGGUGUGGUCGGCGGCGAGCGGCGGGGCUUUCUCCGGCAAUGGCGCGUGGAGGAGCUGCUGCUGCUGCGCGGUGCGAGCGGAGGGAGGAAGGAGAAGGAGGGCGCGGGGGACAGAACGGAGGAAAUGGCCUGGGAGCCCAAGCCGACGUCCCGACCAGGGGGGGUUGGAGGCCGGCCGCGGCGCGUCCAACGCCGGCGUACGGCCGCCACGUGGCCGGCGCCGGGUGGAGCGAGGCGCGUCCGCGCGCGGGAGAGAGGGGGAGAGGGGGAGGAGGCCGGGCCGCUCGCUGGGCCGAAAGGGAAGCGGGGUUGGCCCAGCAGCGCCUGCCCCUUUUCUUUUUUUAAAAAUUUCUUUUCUCCAAAUUCUUUCUAAAUUCAUUUCGACCAAUUUAAAAUCAUUUUCACCUCUUGCUCCCAAAAACAAAGUUGUUCAAAAACAAAAACUCUACAACUUUGCUUUAAUAAGCAAGACCAAAUUCCAAAUAGAAUUUGAAUCACAAAUUAAAACUUAGUUCUAUGUUUUUAAAUAAAUUCAAUUUGGAAAUCUUGUAUAAAUUCCAUUUCUCAAAUUCCAUAGCUCCAAAAUUUACACAAAAAUACUCUAAAUUCUUCCUACACAUAAAUCAACCUAGUUUGAAUAUUUCACAUUUUUAGAAGCAAGCAUCAUAUUUUUAGCAUAAUUAAAACACAUGAAAUAAAGCACAUAAAAUCAGGUUUUGGGAUGAAUGACAUGCCCAUGAUGCUAUGCUUGAUGAGAAUGCUUAUGCAUGUUGUGAUAGGGCUAAAUGCAUGCUUAACACCUAGGGUGUUACAAUAAAGGCUAGAUAUUUAUGCUAACACUUAACCAGUUGCACAAAGCUUUGUUGUCUAUUUGAGCUCCACAGAAUUCAAGGAUCAAAGAAGACCACAGAAUUCAAGGAUCAAAGAAGACUAGCAGACGGAGGACAUCCUAAUCGCUGUUAGGGUGCUGCCGACAUUCAAAUACACCUCCACCACCUGCUAGCUACAUCAGAAGAAAUUACGUCAAAAUCCAACUUGGGGGAGAGCACCCCCAUUUAACCAGCUAAGUGUUUCUACUCGUGUUUAUACUUUACUCAAAUAAUAAAAAGAUGCAUAAUUAUAAAAACCCAAAUAAAGCUUUUAUGCUUAUAUAUAUAUAUAUCUAUGCUUAGUUUGCUAAAUAAAUAAAUAAAUAAAGUUUGCUAUGAACCCUCAUGAUAAGCUCUCACAUGGAAAAGAUGAAUAGUUGCUCUGCCAUGACUAGUUCUCAAAAUUGAAAUCUCUCUCAAGCUUAGGCAUUACUGUUAUGAAUUAAGAUUUGCUCUAAACCUGAACUUGUGGGAAGAGUACUUGAUCUAAAGUCUAAGUCUUUAACGGAUAUGAUAUGGAAAGGUUGAGUUGCUAUUUAUCUGUUCCUAGAGAUGCUAGAAUUCUGGAGAAUUUUAUAUUUGAAAAUCUUUAAAAUUUUGCAUGAUGAGUUCCUGUAUGAUGAGAGUUUGAAAUCCUACCACAGCCAUAUAUACAUGCCUAUUAGACUAUGAACCAUACAUUUACUUUUUACUGCUUAUGAGCAUUGAGUGUGGUCAAGCUAUGUAGACCCUUAGGAGCUUGUCAUGCGGUUAAAAUCAAGAUUCACUUGCACGUUCACUCAUACAUGCUGCUUCUACUCCGGAAGUACGCAUCCACAUAUAUCCACUCAUUUCCAUCUCCAGAAACACUCAAAAAUAUUCUACCAUAAUCCGGGAGAGAAUAACCAAAAACAUUUCUAUUUUUCCCCUGUGAAAUAAAUGCUCGAGUUAUCUUGGUUAUUACCACUUGCUAUAUUAUUCCAGGAGGGUGAGUGCUCUAAAAAAGAAGAAAAAAAGAGAGAGAAAAAAUACGAGGAAAUAAAAAGGGGCAAGUGCCCGAAAUCUCGAAGAAAAGAAAAAGUGAGACGAGAGGUAAAAAUGGACAAGUGUCCGACAGUAGAAUUAGGGGUACAAGAUACCCACCUGAGAGAAAAGAAAAAGAAAAUAUAGAGCAUCUCAUUCCACUCAAAAAGCUUCAAAGUGCAAGAAAGGUAUGUAUCCCCUCAAAAGAGCAAAAGUAGAAUUAGACUUUCACCAUUAUUUUCACCGUUAUCACCAUACACCAAUCAUUCGCCACACAUACACAUCUUGAUUUGACUUAUUGACUUGUUUCUCUGGAUCCAUGGUUUGACUAUGCAAUAAAUGUCUUGUAAGUAUGUAUUAGCUGUCUCCCACCUAUGAGCUCCAGAUAUCAAAGCCUCAUUAGAGUAGGGUGACAGAGAAGGCAAUAUCAUUAUGCCUCAUACCACAAAUACCACAUACUUUGAGAGAAGGCAUAUAUCAUCACUGCCUUGGUAAGGAUCCAGAAAUACCACAAAAGAGAGACUAGAGAGAGUCAUACAAGGAACCUCUGAGAUUUAUUUGAAACUCUGCAAAAACUCCAGAGCUAUAGUUGAUCAAAGAACAAGAGACAUGGUGCUUGACUUGACCGUUCUAUCUUUUAACUGCUCAAGACACAAGUGACGGUUGCAAGCCCCAUGGUGGAAGGUAAUAUGAGUAAGUUUAAAUCUUAAUAGUUUACCUUAACCUAGAGAUGAUCUUGUUUGAACGCAUGUGUACCUUUAAGGCAUAAAACCACUGCAGAAACUCUAGAGUCCAUCCUUGCUCAGGGAUGAGCAAGAGGUAAGCUUGGGGGAGUUGUUGACGGUCCUUAAGUACCAAAUAUAAUCAACAAAUAAAUAAAGAAAAGUAUCCAAAUGCAACCAACACCCAGACUUAGGGUUUUAUCUGACAUAAUUCCACGAGUUUUGGUGUUUGUCUAUUUUUGCAGGGGGUUAUCAGGAAAUAUGGUGGAAAGGCCCACAUGUCGGGUUUACAUAGAGAUAUUAAUGUGCCGCACAAUUUUCUAUCAUCUAGAAGACUCCAGAAGCCACGGGAACAAAGCGGAAGCCGAGAGGGCUCAGGGACAGGGCGCCCGCCCAAGUCCUUAGGGCGCCCGCCCACCUAUUUCGGCCAAUCACGUUCAACUUUGCGGAUUAUGCUCCACCGACCUAAAGGAUCAAGAAUAACCAUUCAAUCAAGGUCGGUUUGAUCCGACGGGCCAGAUUCACUUGAGGGGACUAUAUAACCAGACCCCCUGGCCCCUGGAGGAGGCACCCCUUGAUCAUUAUUCAUUAUUCAUAGAUAGAGCAAAAGCUAGGGUUUGGAGAUGAGAGCUCUCCUUUCAUCUCUAAACUAGAGUAGAUCUAGAUAGUAGCGAGAUGG